GGCCUUGUAGCUCAGAGGAAUAGAGCACGUGGCUACAAACCACGGUGUCGGGGGUUCGAAUCCCUCCUCACCCA
rnacentral:tRNA from 1 species